GCCGGGGUGGCGGAACUGGCAGACGCUGCGGACUUAAAAUCCGCUGACCCCACAAGGGUCGUGUGGGUUCGAUCCCCACCCCCGGCACCA
rnacentral:tRNA from 1 species